rnacentral:rRNA from 1 species
AGAGUUUGAUCCUGGCUCAGGACGAACGCUGGCGGCGUGCCUAACACAUGCAAGUCGAACGGAGAAUUUUAUUUCGGUAGAAUUCUUAGUGGCGAACGGGUGAGUAACGCGUAGGCAACCUGCCCUUUAGACGGGGACAACAUUCCGAAAGGAGUGCUAAUACCGGAUGUGAUCAUCUUGCCGCAUGGCAGGAUGAAGAAAGAUGGCCUCUACAAGUAAGCUAUCGCUAAAGGAUGGGCCUGCGUCUGAUUAGCUAGUUGGUAGUGUAACGGACUACCAAGGCGAUGAUCAGUAGCCGGUCUGAGAGGAUGAACGGCCACAUUGGGACUGAGACACGGCCCAAACUCCUACGGGAGGCAGCAGUGGGGAAUCUUCCGCAAUGGACGAAAGUCUGACGGAGCAACGCCGCGUGAGUGAUGAAGGAUUUCGGUCUGUAAAGCUCUGUUGUUUAUGACGAACGUGCAGUGUGUGAACAAUGCAUUGCAAUGACGGUAGUAAACGAGGAAGCCACGGCUAACUACGUGCCAGCAGCCGCGGUAAUACGUAGGUGGCGAGCGUUGUCCGGAAUUAUUGGGCGUAAAGAGCAUGUAGGCGGCUUAAUAAGUCGAGCGUGAAAAUGCGGGGCUCAACCCCGUAUGGCGCUGGAAACUGUUAGGCUUGAGUGCAGGAGAGGAAAGGGGAAUUCCCAGUGUAGCGGUGAAAUGCGUAGAUAUUGGGAGGAACACCAGUGGCGAAGGCGCCUUUCUGGACUGUGUCUGACGCUGAGAUGCGAAAGCCAGGGUAGCGAACGGGAUUAGAUACCCCGGUAGUCCUGGCCGUAAACGAUGGGUACUAGGUGUAGGAGGUAUCGACCCCUUCUGUGCCGGAGUUAACGCAAUAAGUACCCCGCCUGGGGAGUACGGCCGCAAGGUUGAAACUCAAAGGAAUUGACGGGGGCCCGCACAAGCGGUGGAGUAUGUGGUUUAAUUCGAAGCAACGCGAAGAACCUUACCAGGGCUUGACAUCCCACUAACGAAGCAGAGAUGCAUUAGGUGCCCUUCGGGGAAAGUGGAGACAGGUGGUGCAUGGUUGUCGUCAGCUCGUGUCGUGAGAUGUUGGGUUAAGUC